AGUGAACGCUGGCGGUAGGCCUAACACAUGCAAGUCGAACGGCAGCACAGGAGAGCUUGCUCUCUGGGUGGCGAGUGGCGGACGGGUGAGGAAUACAUCGGAAUCUACUUUUUCGUGGGGGAUAACGUAGGGAAACUUACGCUAAUACCGCAUACGACCUACGGGUGAAAGCAGGGGACCUUCGGGCCUUGCGCGAUUGAAUGAGCCGAUGUCGGAUUAGCGAGUUGGCGGGGUAAAGGCCCACCAAGGCGACGAUCCGUAGCUGGUCUGAGGGGAUGAUCAGCCACACUGGAACUGAGACACGGGCCAGACUCCUACGGGAGGCAGCAGUGGGGAAUAUUGGACAAUGGGCGCAAGCCUGAUCCAGCCAUACCGCGUGGGUGAAGAAGGCCUUCGGGUUGUAAAGCCCUUUUGUUGGGAAAGAAAUCCAGCUGGCUAAUACCCGGUUGGGAUGACGGUACCCAAAGAAUAAGCACCGGCUAACUUCGUGCCAGCCGCCGCAGUAA
rnacentral:rRNA from 1 species